AAGACUCUCGGCAACGGAUAUCUCGGCUCUUGCAUCGAUGAAGAACGUAGCGAAAUGCGAUACUUGGUGUGAAUUGCAGAAUCCCGUGAACCAUCGAGUCGUUGAACGCAAGUUGCGCCCGAAGCCAUCAGGCCGAGGGCACGCCUGCCUGGGUGUCGCACAU
rnacentral:rRNA from 8 species